GUGUUUGCUUUGGCAGCACAUAUGCUAAAAUUAGAAAACACAGAGAAGAUUAGCAUGGCCCUUGUGCACGGAUGGCGUGCAAAUUCAUGAAAAAAGAAGUGAUGUC